rnacentral:rRNA from 1 species
AUACGGAGGAUGCAAGCGUUAUCCGGAUUUAUUGGGUUUAAAGGGUGCGUAGGCUGUUCGGAAAGUCAGGGGUGAAAGCCCGGCGCCUAACGCCGGAACUGCCUUUGAUACUUCCGAGCUGGAAUACGGAUGCCGUGGGAGGAAUGAGUAGUGUAGCGGUGAAAUGCAUAGAUAUUACUCAGAACACCGAUUGCGAAGGCAGCUCUCGAAUCCGUCAAUGACGCUGAGGCACGAAAGGGUGGGGAUCAAACAGGAUUAGAUACCCUGUUAGUCCGCGCAGUAAACGAUGAUGACUAACCGUCGGCGAUACACAGUCGGUGGCCAAGCGAAAGCGAUAAGUCAUCCGCCUGGGGAGUACGUUCGCAAGAUUGAAACUCAAAUGAAUUGGCGGGG